UCUUUUAGCAAGUUAUAUUCCAAUAGGUUAUAAUAUUCCAACCAAGUGGGUCCCCUCCUCUAGUCUCCACUCCCUUUUGUGCGCAGGCAAAUUGCAGAAGAAGCUCUGUCCAUGGCCUUGGCCCCAUUCGCACACAGUCACCAUUCAUGAUCCCAAUAAAAGCUUGCAUUUACAUUACGACAAAACCCUCCAUUAAUUUCUCAUCACUCUCCUCUCUUUCUCACUCUCUACUGUUGAAGAAACACGCCCAAAACAACCCCACUUUCUCCCCCAAAAAUGAAACCCGACCUUUCACCUACAAUGGCCACACUGAAGAAGGACUCUCCAUCAGAAACUGGGGUCUCCUUUUUCCUCUCAAGAAAAGCUCGCUACAAGUUCUGGGUAUUGGCCGCCAUUCUACUCCUCGCUUUCUGGUCCAUGUUCACCGGCUCCGUCUCCCUCAAAUGGUCCGCCGGAACUUUCGCCAGAUUCUACGACGGCCCCCGCAAGCCGAUCUUCGACGAUCUUGACAUUCUGGUGAUCCUUUUAGCUAUUUCCACGGAAGUUGAAGAGCGGGAGAGGGAUGUCCGGCACAUGUGGAAUCUGUACUCCCAUGGAGGCGGCGGCCGGUUGCCGCGAUUCUGGUUGGAGGCUUUUGAAGCGGCGUACGAGGAUUUGAUCGGCGAUGUUCCCGCCGUUCGAGAUGCUGCCCUUUUGGAGAUCGCUAGGAUGUCUCUGCAAUCUGUUCAUGUCGACCCAAUCCCGAUCAAAUCCAAGCCGUAACAACUAUACUUAUCAAAAGUGGAUGUCUCGAUCAUGCUUGUUCCAAACUCCUUCUUACUUGUUUUUAAGUUAGGUAUGCACUUACUAAUAUUGUUGUGUUAAUCAUGCUUGUUCCAAACUCUUUCUUACUUGUUUUUAAGUUAGGUGUAUGAUUGGGAAGGUGUAUGAUUGGAAAGGUGUAUGAUCAAUAACCAAAAUCAUAUCUAACGGUGCUUCAAUCCGAGUUAUAUGCUAUCAAAACAGUUGUUCAACAUAUUUCAUCGCUCUUACUCUCAAACGUGCCUGAGGCUCAAGCCUAUUGUUCGUGAAGACCAAAUUUUACACGGCCAACUCUAAAGUAGAACAAGUAUUGUACAAUCGUUAUUACUGAUAUAGUGAAAUAGAAUGAAAGGUAAAACAGUGGUUGUAUCCAA